AACGUAGGAGGCAAGCGUUAUCCGGAUUUACUGGGCGUAAAGCGUGUGCAGGCGGUUGUUCAAGUCGGGUUUGAAAGCGCUCCGCUUAACGGGGCGAGGCUAGACGAGACUGGGCGACUAGAAUCAGACAGAGGCAAGCGGAAUUCCGGGUGUAGUGGUGAAAUGCGUAGAGAUCCGGAGGAACACCGGUGGCGAAGGCGGCAUCCUGGACCGGUAUUGACGCUGAGGCGCGAAAGCUAGGGGAGCAAACGGG
rnacentral:rRNA from 1 species